ACUGGGUGUCCUGUGUGGAUUUUUAGGGAUGCUAGUAACAGAGUCUUCAGACCUACCUAAAUGAUCCCUCUAGCAAUGGGAUGAAUCAAGAGAGCUAGGUCUGAGAGCUGCAUGUGCCUUUGUAAAGGCAAUUGAAAUCAUAUUGUAGGCAGAGGUGUAUACCUGCCUGGAAGAAGGGCUGCAGAUGAAAAGGCAGAGGGGACGAUACCUGCCU